rnacentral:rRNA from 1 species
GAUGAACGCUAGCGAUAGGCUUAACACAUGCCAGUCGAGGGGCAGCAUGGUCUUAGCUUGCUAAGACUGAUGGCGACCGGCGCACGGGUGCGUAACGCGUAUGCAACUUGCCUCACAGAGGGGGAUAACCCGUCGAAAGACGGACUAAUACCGCGUACACUUGGGAUAGGGCAUCCUGACCCAAGGAAUUGAAAUUCGCUGUAGGUUAGGCAUGCGUCCCAUUAGCUAGUUGGUGAGGUAACGGCUCACCAAGGCGACGAUGGGUAGGGGAACUGAGAGGUUGAACCACCACACUGGUACUGCGACACGGACCAGAAUCCUACGGGAGGCAGCAGUGAGGAAUAUUGGUCAAUGGGCGAGAGCCUGAACCAGCCAAGUCGCGUGAAGGAUGACUGUCUUAUGGAUUGUAAACUUCUUUUAUACGGGAAUAACAAGAGCCACGUGUGGCUCCCUGCAUGUACCGUAUGAAUAAGCAUCGGCUAACUCCGUG